CACUCUGUGCAUGCGCGGUCCUCCGGAGGGGGCUACUGCUACUAAGAAAUUUCCGGUUUGCGGCGCCGGAACGAGCCCGACACCUGUAGUGGAGCACCCACGGGGACAUCACUCGAAGAAGAAGUGGAGCACCACAGUGAGGGGAGCAAAGUGAGCUGGGGCCGCAUUGCUCCACUUGCCCUGGCUCCUACCAAGACCUCAGGGCUGAUUACCGUCAGGAGGCCGUCAGCCUGUUUCAGGGUGCCAGGCAGCACGUGCAGCAACUUGAGUAAACGGUUAAUCCCUCAAGGCUGAAGUAGACUGAACAGUGCAAAGAACCCACAGGGAGGAAUGAAUAUGAAGAUUGAACUAUUCUCUGCCUUAAUUAUGGUAUGUCUGAUCUCUCUGUAUGGACCCAGAGACAUUAAACAUUGCACCUGCUUCAUUAAUACAAUGGACAUUAUUCAGCUUCCUUGUAAUAAAACAUUCCUCCCCUCCCCCCCAGCAUUUGCCAUAAUUCAGCAAGAGGCCAUCUUUACUGAAAACCAGGAGCGUGGAACCUUUUAUUGGGUUGGGGUCAAGUGAGAAGCCAACCCGCCCAAACCCACCAACAACCCUUCACUGAGAUGCUGAACUCCCCUUCCCUCCUCCAGUCUCACUCAUGCAACUCGGGCACCGUGACUCAGAUUAACUCUUCUGGGGGACUGGAACCAGUGGAAUUUGUGAUCCCCCUAAGUUCUGGGCGUUCAGUGUGAAGGGGGCUGUCAGUGGGAUGGGAGGUCUGGCAGGGAUGGGAGGAUGGAGAAGCAGGCUGGCAUAGGGAUGAGUGGUCUGGGCAGGAAGUAGGAUGUGGGAGGCAGCACAGGAUUGGGGUGCUUACCUGGCAGAGUUCCUGUGGGAGGGGCACAGGUGGCUCCUGUGGCCCUGUACCUGCAGGCACUCUCCUCCACCUCUCCCAUUGGCUGUGAUUCCUGACCAAUGGGAGCAGCAGUAGAAAAGCCUGCAGGCAAGCACUAGAAUCAUAGGGUUGGAAGAGUCCUCAGGAGGUCAUUGAGAUUCCCUGUGUGAUCAUUCCCCCAUCUGAAGGGGCAGGGGGACGGCAGAACACAGAGCAGCUUCCUCCCCCCACCAGGCAGAGCUGGUCAUGCUUGAACAAUGGCUCCCUGCUGCUUCCCCUGCAGUGUGAGUAUGUGUGGGGGAGCCCAGAGCCUCCUGGGCCAGAUCAAGGAAGGCUGGGGACUGGAUCCAGCCAGCAAGCCAUAAGCUCCCCGACCUGCUGUAAACACAGUAUUUUUCUAAAGAGGAAAGAAUGAUAGAAAAGACAAUGACAACUGGUUUUCAGUGUAAUAAAACUAGUUUAUUUACACAGUAACGCGAGUGCCACAAGUACACAGCAAAGUACCACAGCAAACCAGAGUGUAACUACCCUCCCUGGCAAAGGAAGGCUUGGAGUUUAUACACUUAUUUAUAUAGAAUGGGUCAAUAUAGAUAUGAAGCACCUGAUAAAGCAAUGCAGUCAGGAAUUCCAAACACAAAGCUUACCCAGGACAAUGGAGUCAACCGUAUCGGAGGAAUUAAAAAAAAAAUCCCAUUUAUAAAAGAUCACCAGUUUAGGAAUCUCUAAUUUAGAAAUAAUUUUAUUUCCUUGUAUUAAAAAUAAGUGUGUUUACACUUAAAUGCUCAUCAUAAUUAAGAUGAAAAGAAAAAAGCACCCCAAGAAUUCGAGCUGCAAAACUUUCUUCAACCAAAAAACACCCAAAUAAAAAGAAUCCAAGUUUUUGAAAGUUUUUCAAAAAGAGGUGUAAUUGAUUACAUGAAACUGGUGUGUUAAAAUUCAAGAAAACGUACAGCAUAUUUUAUAUGCGAUGUAUAAUAUACAUAUACACACAACAAAAGAGGGUCAAAGAAUUUUUUGUUGUACAAUAAAAUUUAUAUAUAUAUAUAUAUAUAUGAACAUAUAUCUCUUAUAUAAAAAACAUUCCAACUUCUAAAUCCCUGAAAACUCCUUUCUGGAUUUAAGAAAACAAAGGAUGAGAUGGCUCCUCUUACAACGAUGUAUAAAACUUUAUACUCUUUAGAAUAGCAAGAUGCUUAGGUACAGCUUCUGAAAUAUUCUAUGGAUUUAAUUCAGUCUCUAACUAGAUGUGGAGUGGAGUGCCAAACAUCUACUGCAAGGAGGCGUAUAGAAAAUUAUUUAAAUUCAUAAAGAAAUCUCCCACGCACAAAGUUCUUUUUAUUAUGUCUCUUCAAACCAUAAUCCUUCCAAUAGUGUCUAAUACAAUCUAGCAAACAUCUAAUAGAAAUUCUUCACAAUACAACCAAAGGUCAGAAGGAGGGGUUAUAAUACUUCUCCCUGGUUCUUUUAGAGUAGUAGUCACCUUACAUUAAAAGUUCUGUCCAGAGUCUCUUUUACAAAAGCAUUUUUAAUUGUUUUUCCUGACUCUUGAGCUCUGUUUUGGAAUCUGUGUGCUGGUUUGAUUUGAGCUUCCUUGAUUUGAGUUUUGGGAACAGUUUGCCUACUGAAGCAUUGAAAGUUCUACUCUGCAUUUCUUUGGUAUUAUCAAUUGUGUAUUUAAAUCAUCACAAUAGAAAAGCCUCUUGGUUUAAUUGGAGUGACUUGGUCUAGCAGAUCUAGUAUGUCUACACUGCAGUGUAAGGCCAGGGUUAGCAGGACUUUAGGAAUUGAGAUUCUGGGUCUGUAAGCCCAGGGCUUGAGCACUGGCACUGCAUAUUGACCUUAAGUUUAGAAUUUCUGGACCUGCGCCUCCAGCAUCCACACUGCAGCUCACAGAUUCUGCUCCAUGCAUUGCAAUAUUUACAUGGGCCCACAUUACACAGCAAGCUCCUCUUUAAAUGGACAGCAUUUUACUGAAGGGCUGAGUGUGCUCUGGGAUUUCAGGAAUAGUAGCAGCAUGAGCACUACCCACCUCCUUUAAAUCAGCAUAAACUUGGUGACCCAGUCAUGUGGGGAGUACUACCCAUUUACUACACCUCUACACCUGCCAGGAAACAGAAUGCUCAAUCUUGAUCAAAUUGAGGUUUUUCGGAGGGUUUCUGUGUGUGUUUUGGGGGGGGGGGACGGGUAGUGCACUGAAGGGUUUGAUAUUGUUAUCUAUAGUUGCUUCCAAAGGCAAAACACUCUUUUAUUGGCAUCAGUGAGAGCAAGGUUAGGUCUCUAAUUGAAAAGAGGAACAUUUAGGUAAGUUUUUCAGACAAAAGCUAGGAAGCAUCUGGGUAUCUUCCAGAGCAUUUGAUUGCAAAUAUGUGCUAGAUUUAUUUAAACUAUUUAUUCUUCCCUCUAACCUACUAGAAUCUGCCUGGUCUACAAUGUCCAGAUGAUGCAUGCAGAUCCCGUGGUGCUGUUGGCAGGUCCCUAAAGAAAAUAUGGACUGGAUGUUGGAGCUUGAAGGUCGAUAGGAUGUUCGACCUUUUGGAAAUACUAUGCACAAACUGGACUGCAGAUUGGUGUUUCCAGCACCACAGUAUUCCAAGAAGCUGAGAUUUCUAACUUUAUUACUUACUUCUUAGUCUUCAUUUGACAUCUGAAUUUUAAAAGCCUGUUCUCUAAUUUAAUCACAUUCUAGAGCCCUCAGAAAAAAACUGACACUCAUUACUGGAGAUUUCUCUAUGAAUUUUUGUAAUUGCUGCAGCAUUUAAAUUCUGUCUAGAUGAGCCACAUAUAUUCACUGGACCAGACCAGAGGCUUGGAAGAUAAACUGGGUUUAUUUUUAUUUUUUUUAGGAGACACACCAAAAGUCCACUUUCAAGAACACAUUCCUGUUUUCCAAAAUUCCUAAAUUAACAGUGGUUUGCAUCAAUGCCUCCAUAGCAUAUAGAUGUAUGUGCAGCACAUCCACUGCAUGUAAUGAGGAGCUGCACAUCUUACACAUAUUCUCUUCAUCUUCUGGAGCUGGAGUGUCUGUAAGAGAUUGUCAAAGCAAUAGGACUCUAGAAUUUUAGUGUAUUCUAUCUAGACCAAGUGGUAUCUCAUCUAUUUCUCAGCUAGUGGUGAGCCUCAAUUUCAAAUGUGAAAAAAUCCACAGACACCUGCUGUCAUUUGGGGUUUGUUUUGGUAUUAUGAGUAACUUCAAAGGAACUUGACCUUCCAGCAAAUGUUCCUUUUAUUACAUUUAUUAAUUCAGCAUCAUAUGAAGUGCACCAUUUUAUUUUGUAGUCAUCCUUUUAGAUUUAUGGGUAUGUCUACACAACAGUUGGGAGGUGUUAGGCUCAAGCUAGUGCCUAAAAUAGCACUGUAGCUAUCCUAGCAGGGGAGGCUCAGGUUAGCUGCCUGAGUACAUACUGGGAAGGGGACAAUGGGAUAGUACUUAGGUGGUUAGCCUGAGGUGUCAUAGCCAAGCUGCUAUUUUUAGGCACUAGCUUGAGCAGAGCUAGCACAUAUCUAUCUACCCCUCCUUGGGAAUUACAGUGUGUAUACAAACCCUGCGUGGUCCCCUGCUGGUGUGUGCUCAUACCCUAUGUGGGCAGUAUUACUUAUAAGGCUGUUUAGCAGGCAGAGAGCGAUUCUGAUGAUUCUCUUCAUUACUAUUCUAAUUCUUUGACAAGGCACUAUACAUUGUGCAUUCAAUUGCUAAUUUAGAUUGUUCCAUUCAAAACAUUAAAAAGAUUAUUAGUGGUUCGAAAAGUUUCAGGAACCACUAAUUCUAAUUCUCCAUCAAACAAUUUAGUGAUUUUCCAGAUCUAUUUUGCACUUGAAAAUCUAUAUAAUUUAUAGCUAAAAACAGUGAAAUGGCAGCAUUUAGUAAUAGAAAAAUAUAUAUUUACAAUCAAUAUUGUUAUCUUAGAAUUGCAGCUCUUCACAUUUUCUGAGCUCAACUAAAAGUGCCACACUACUUAAAAAUCCAAAGUCUGCUCAUGUCCAAAGGCAUGUACAUAGGCAGGGGUUUCAUUCCUGAUACAUAAAAUAUCCCACUGACAGGUUUUUUUCUCAUUUGUUUAGAAAUUAUGUUGUUUUUUUUGCUUUUGUUUGUUUAUGGUCAAUUUCAAGCAUACAUUCUCAGGUAUUUGUGCAAUGUGUUCUUAGUCAGUAUGGCAACCCCUCCCCCCCAAGGUACAAUCCCCAAUGAUGUCUGCAAAAGCAGCUACAGAACCACCGAGGAACGGAAGCUCUUGCCUGUUUGUGUUUGUCCUCCUUGACCCUUCUUUUGUUCUUAAAAGAAAAAAAAAGGUAAAAAAAAAAUCACACAUCGAUUUUACAAAUUGCUAAAGUUAACCCAGUGCAGCACAAUACACAGAUUGGUAAUGAACAUUCACCCACGCUCGAUUAUACUGCAGAAGUAAAAAGAGUAUUGGUUGAAAUUCAAUCACAAACAAUAUGAACUGAAAUUAGAUAGUUAAAGAACAAAGGCUUUGGACCAGCUAAGGUAAAUACAUUAGGUUGUAAAACAUUCAAUAUUCAACUUUGCAUGUGUGUGUUGGCCUGAAAGUGACACUGAGAACCUGUCCACAUACAUUAAAAACCCCACAUACAUUAAAAAAAAAAAAAAAAGCAGGUGGCCUGAAGGAACGUGCCUACCGGAAUGGCCAGUGGUCCAUGUGUUGCUCAUACA